UUUCUAGUGGCGGACGGGUGAGUAACGCGUGGGUAACCUGCCUUAUACAGGGGGAUAACAACCAGAAAUGGUUGCUAAUACCGCAUAAGCGCACAGGACCGCAUGGUCCGGUGUGAAAAACUCCGGUGGUAUAAGAUGGACCCGCGUUGGAUUAGCUAGUUGGCAGGGGAACGGCCUACCAAGGCGACGAUCCAUAGCCGGCCUGAGAGGGUGAACGGCCACAUUGGGACUGAGACACGGCCCAG
rnacentral:rRNA from 1 species